GACGAACCGAGCAAACGUUAUUCGGAAUCACUGGGCUUAAAGGGCGCGUAGGCGGGCAUUCAAGUCUGUGGUGAAAUCCGGCAGCUCAACUGUCGAAUUGCCGUGGAUACUGGGUGUCUCGAGGGAGGUAGGGGCGCGCGGAACUAACGGUGGAGCGGUGAAAUGCGUUGAUAUCGUUAGGAACUCCGGUGGCGAAGGCGGCGCGCUGGACCUCUUCUGACGCUGAGGCGCGAAAGCCAGGGGAGCAAACGGG
rnacentral:rRNA from 2 species